GAUGAACGCUGGCGGCGUGCUUAACACAUGCAAGUCGAACGGAAAGGCCCAAGCUUGCUUGGGUACUCGAGUGGCGAACGGGUGAGUAACACGUGGGUGAUCUGCCCUGCACUUCGGGAUAAGCCUGGGAAACUGGGUCUAAUACCGGAUAGGACGAUGGUUUGGAUGCCAUUGUGGAAAGUUUUUUCGGUGUGGGAUGAGCUCGCGGCCUAUCAGCUUGUUGGUGGGGUAAUGGCCUACCAAGGCGUCGACGGGUAGCCGGCCUGAGAGGGUGUACGGCCACAUUGGGACUGAGAUACGGCCCAGACUCCUACGGGAGGCAGCAGUGGGGAACAUUGCACAAUGGGCGCAAGCCUGAUGCAGCGACGCCGCGUGGGGGAUGACGGCCUUCGGGUUGUAAACUCCUUUCGCUAGGGACGAAGCGUUUUUGUGACGGUACCUGGAGAAGAAGCACCGGCUAACUACGUG
rnacentral:rRNA from 1 species